GCGUCUUUCCCGGAGGCAGUAGAAGAGUCCUUGCCGGUCGCCGGAGAUAUUCACGGCAAAAAUUUUCUUGCCUUUUCAUGCUCUAAACAAUCUCCUGUGGUCAGAUCUCUUCCCAACCAUGGUUAGUUGAAUGGCUGAUGGUUGCUUCUGUUGUUGUCGUUUUACUAUGAAAUAGUACGGGUAAAAGAGAAGGGUAUGGUAGAUGGAGUGCAAUAAAGAUGAUGCUUUAAGGGCUAAAGAA
rnacentral:misc_RNA from 1 species